UACUAGAAGCCAGGCAUCCAAGCGCGCAAAAACGGCGCUGAUUACAUGAUUACUCAACUAUAUUAGUCCUGCGAGGAAAUUCACGUAGCUCUACUGAGAAUGAAAGCAGUAUUUUUAAACUUAUGAUAAUUGUGAAGAUACAAGUGUCUGACGCAAGCGGCUUUUCUCAAGAGGUUGACGUAGCUGAUCAACGUCUGAUUGCAUUGCUGGCUAUCCGCUGUUAUAAAAUGUAAUAAACAUUGCAUGUGUACUGCUAUAACCGGGCAAGCUGUUGUCGAGUGUUGCUUGACCUCGGAGGAAUUUUGCAAACCCCGGUGACCGUACUUAAUAUUGGUGGGCAAACUCUUCAAUAGCUAGGUCAAAUCGGUUUGCCAGAUAAAGAUAACAGCCGAUCAGGGGCAUCAUGGUCUCCUUCUUUAUAUUACUUCUGCUUCCUGCUAUGUGUCAUGCGGGUGCCUCAAAAGGUUGCAAGGAUGUGAAAGGUGCGUGGCACCCUGAUGGGGCACCUUGUUUGGCAGGGAUACUAGAAAAUCCAGUUGGCGAAUAUAAAUGUGCCGUUGGGCAAUGCUAUGAUGGUGGCUGUAAAAUAGUGAAAAUUGAUGUGUGCGCAACCAGCUAACCAGCUAAGUGUUUAUUCAAUAAAUCUAUCUUGCCGAAACACUGAAAAACUGAGCCCAUAGCACGCCUCUGCAUGUUUAUUCUUCUUACUCGCACAAUUUUAGCAUUUUAAAUGCGUACGAACUUCGAUGCCGACUCAGCAAAAAAACUGUCUGUCCCUCCAUUCCGAAGUUUUUGACGAGAAAUCUCUAAAAGUGAAUAAAUGAGUAACAGAA